rnacentral:rRNA from 1 species
UGGGGAAUAUUGGGCAAUGGGCGAAAGCCUGACCCAGCGACGCCGCGUGAGGGAAGAAGGUCUUCGGAUUGUAAACCUUAGUUAGCAGGGAAGAAGAAAGUGACGGUACCUGCAGAGAAAGCCACGGCUAACUACGUGCCAGCAGCCGCGGUAAUACGUAGGUGGCAAGCGUUGUCCGGAUUUACUGGGUGUAAAGGGCGAGUAGGCGGACCUGCAAGUCAGAUGUGAAAUCCCCGGGCUUAACCCGGGAACUGCAUUUGAAACUGUAGGCCUUGAGUGAUGGAGAGGCAGGCGGAAUUCCCGGUGUAGCGGUGGAAUGCGUAGAUAUCGGGAGGAACACCAGUGGCGAAGGCGGCCUGUUGGACAUUAACUGACGCUGAGGAGCGAAAGCGUGGGGAGCAAACAGGAUUAGAUACCC